UACUAAAAGGACAACACAUAGAGACUUUGUAAAAGGAGAAAACCGAAUCAAAGGUGGAAAUUUAAGAGAAUUUUCAAGAUUCUAUGGAUUGCAUAAGAUCUUUAGAAUCCUUUAAUUAGUGGAAUUAAAAUUUCCUGACUGUAUGGUGAGUUUCAUUGAUAGUUUUCAUACUUUGCUGUAAAGAUAAGAUUCUGCUACCUUUUGGUGUUUGUCGAGCUAUGUUGCCUGCUGUUAGGGUGAGUGUGUAGUGACUGCGAUAUAGAGUAGGUGCUACAGUUAUAAUAGUUCAUAUCUUAUUUUAUAUCCUUUUCUCUUCAAUUUCACAAUUUCCCUUCAAUGUUGAGACUUUUCAUGGUUAUGGUUGUUUAUAGAUGAUGACAAUGACUUUACGUGAGACAUUCUCUUCCGUUGAUUGUAAGACAAUGAAGACACUUUUAUGAUGUGGAGGCUCUACUUGACCAAGGGUUCUUCAAAAAGCAAAAUUUAGAUACUUCAUAAUAUGGUCGUUGUUAAAUACUUGAGGGCUGAUUGUUCUAAUGGUUGACUGGAGGAUUCCUCAUAGUAUGAAGGUUGUUGCAAGAAUUAUUUGGUGAAACUUACUAUGAGGCUUCAUGAAGUAUUAAUACUCGAACAUACGUAAUUAUUGAGGGUCAGAACAUAAUUUAAUGUUUUAAAGUCUUAUAGUUAGUAAUUUUAUUUACCGGUGUAAAUUGAGAGUAGUUUGUGGAGAGACGUGAAUAGUCAUACUGCUUGUAUAAUAUUAUUGUAAAUUAUGUAUAUUACUGCAAAUUAUGUAUACAUAUGACUUAUUGUCGAAGAAUGAAAUUAUUGUU